CGGAGCGGCUCCGCCUGCGCCUGGCCGGCUGCUCCCGGGGGACGAUGCAGCAAAGCGGGGCCAGCAGCGCUCAGCCCGGCCCGGGAGGAGGUGCGGGGGGAUGAGGAGCAGGAGGAGCAGCAGGGAAUGUUCUCUGAGGUCCGGGUGCUGCUGGCACCCUCACAGAUGGGGCGAUGUGGGGCUUUGGGCUGGGACACGGGGGAGUUGCUGUGACUCCCACCCAGCCUGGCAGCUCAGGGGUGGGUGGUCUGUGCUCUCGUAGGGGUGUGGACCCCAAAAUCUAGCCCAGCCCCAUGAAUUUGGUCUCUCUGGUCCCACCAAGGGAACAGGGGAAGCCACAGCUGCCCCCUAGACCACGGAGAUGUGACCGAGCCAGCUCUUCCCUCCCCCAGCCUGUUCCUGCACCCUGGAAGUGCCGAAAACACCCUGGGAAUGAGCUGGUUCUUCCCUGAAACCCCACACAGGUCCCAGCUGGCCGGGAUGCAGCAGGAUGGGAAGCUGGUGCUGGAGUGAGCAGAGCAUCCUCCCAGCUCCUGGGAAGCUGCUGCUUCCCACCUCAGGAGGGACAUUUCCCUGCUUCAGGUAACCCCAACAAACGGCUUUUUACUCAAGGUUUCACAGGAUGAGACAUCCUAGGAGGAUAAAUCCCUCCCCGGGGAUGCAGCCGCCUGGGAGCUGCACUCUGGUGCAGAUGUGGUCACAGAUCCAGCUGUUUGCUGUGCCCCACUCCCUCUGGAACAUCCUGAGGCUGUGGGUGAACUGCCUGCAUGCCCCUUCCCACCCUCCCCUCCUCUCCACGGACAGGCGGGCAGCAGGGCCGAGAGCUGCUGGAGGAGGCUGGAAGAGCUCCGGCACCGAGAGCCGAGCAGGGAUCCUCGGGGACACACCCCGCGCCUCCCGCGGGCAGCAGCUGGACCUCGGCAUCCUCGCUGGUGUGUUUUCCCCGUGUUCCCUGUAGCGCCUGCAGCGAGCUCCCAGAGCGCGGUCCCCAGCCGGGCCCGGAGCCACGCACGCUUCCAGCACAGGAAAACCGAGCCCUGGGAAUGUGGAGCUGCCUCAGCUUGUGCCAGGCUGAGGGGCAGGCAGGAGGAUGCCAGGGACCCCAGCGUGUGCCAGCACCCCCACAGCCGCUGUGGACAUCCAGGGCCCAUCCCUGUAUCCCUGUGGCCCGGGGUCAGGGACGGUCCGGGGAGCUCGGUGUGUGCCCACACGAUGAUCUCACACACACUGGGGCUGCUCACUGAACCCUCACGCUGUGAAUCCCCCAAUUCCCGGGGCACCAUCACCUCCUGCACCUCAGCCUCACAGCUCAUGGCAGAGGGGAUCCUGUUCGCACCCCUCAGGGCGUUCCCCACCUUCAGGGCUCCUGGAGCAGAGGGAUGGGUGGGACUGGCAGGACUGGCACCAGGGGCACACAGAGGGCUGUGGGACCGAGACAGGCUGACCCCAGCGCUGAUGGUUGCUGUGGGGAGUCUGUAGCAAAGCUAUUUUUUGGGGGUG
rnacentral:lncRNA from 1 species